rnacentral:rRNA from 1 species
GUACCUGCAGAAGAAGCUCCGGCUAACUACGUGCCAGCAGCCGCGGUAAUACGUAGGGGGCGAGCGUUAUCCGGAUUCAUUGGGCGUAAAGCGCGCGUAGGCGGCCGCCUAAGCGGAACCUCUAAUCCCGGGGCUCAACCUCGGGCCGGGUUCCGGACUGGGCGGCUCGAGUGCGGUAGAGGCAGGCGGAAUUCCCGGUGUAGCGGUGGAAUGCGCAGAUAUCGGGAAGAACACCGAUGGCGAAGGCAGCCUGCUGGGCCGCCACUGACGCUGAGGCGCGAAAGCUGGGGGAGCGAACAGGAUUAGAUACCCUGGUAGUCCCAGCCGUAAACGAUGGGCGCUAGGUGUGGGGGGACAGUCCCCCCGUGCCGCAGCCAACGCAUUAAGCGCCCCGCCUGGGGA